GCCGGGCGUGGUGGCGGGCGCCUGUAAUCCCAGCUACUCAGGAGGCUGAGGCAGGAGAAUCGCUUCAACCCGGGAGGCUGAGGUUGCGGUGAGCCGAUAUUGUGCCACUGCACUCCAGCCUGGGUGACAGAGUGAGACUCUGUCUCAA
rfam:Homo sapiens chromosome 7, GRCh38 reference primary assembly.